rnacentral:lncRNA from 1 species
AAACACACUCAUAUUACACCACACACAUCACAUACGGUUUCUCUCUCUGUUAGCACCCAUUCACGUUUUUUUUCUCCAUUUACCUUCACUGCCGCCACCUAUGCCGAUACUGAAUACUGGCGGAACAUCCCUCUCUCUUUCCCAAACACACCACCAUAAAAAAAAUUCCAAAACUACCAAUAAUCUAAGACAAAUGUCGAACCCUCACAAGCCGUUUCAACGAUUUCGGCCACAAUGACCGGCGAACCAACCAUCGCUGCCCCUCUUCCCUUUUUUUUCCCCUUUUUUUCAGCUGCGCCGCACCACCACGCACCGCCUACCUCUCUUUUCCUCCUCUUUCCGCCACUGUUCACUAAAAAUUGGCCAGAUCUAUCCGCUUUUCUAUUUUACGGCGUUGCUCCGGCAAACGCCGUUAAAGCAAUGCCACCAUGACGAUGCCACCGCUGUUUUAGGGUCUUUUCCAUUUUAUAAUAUUAGUGUGCUAGAUCCAGCCGAAAAGAGGCCAUCACCGCGUAUAUUUUUACUGUGAUUUAUUGAUAGAUGUUGGUUCUGUUAUUUUUGGCUUCUCCGAUGAACAUCACUGUUUCGGAAUUCACCUAUGGUUAUGUUACUGAUUGUUGCUAUAUUUUACUACUUGUUUUGAUAUUUGGUUUGAUUUUUAUUUUUUUAUGUACAUUUUGAUAACUUUUUCAAUUUUCUUUAUGGUACUAUUCUGCUCGUGACUGUGUUUGGAAAUUUAGGACUAUUUAGGUAGACUUUUAUCCCUUUUACUGAUUUAUGGAUGUGUUUGACUGAUAACAAAUGAAUAGUACUCUAUUUGGUCAAUGAAAUUAUCUCACCGUCUUGAUAUUUGAGGCUACCCCAAUA